ACAAGACAUAAGGGCAUAUGGUGGAUGCCUUGGCUUGAAACGGCGAAGAAGGACGUGGCGUGACUGCGAUAAGCCUCGGGGAGGUGUCUAGCAACCUUUGAACCGGGGAUGUCCGAAUGGGGAAACCCCAUCCUGCAAAACGGGAUGACUCCGAACUUGAUUCGGAGAGCGCACCCAGGGAAGUAAAACAUUUCAGUACCUGGAGGAAAAGAAAACAACGAGAUUUUCAAAUCAUCCGGCCGUUCGUGGCGGAUGACUUGAACGUCUCUCAUUCCCUAAGUAGCGGCGAGCGAAAAGGGAAGAGCCCAAACCUCUUAUUUUAUUUUUAAUAGGAUUAGGGGGGUUGUAAGUGCGGUUCGUUCGGGAGCAAUCCCGAGGAGAGCUGAUAAAAUUAGGACUUCGUUAGGAGAAUCGGCUGGAAAGCCGGGCCAUAGCGGGUAAUAGCCCCGUAUCCGAAAACGGUCUUAUGCUCUCUGAAUCGCUACUUGAGUACCUCGACACAUGAAUGGGUCGGGGGAAUCCGGGAGAACUAACUCCCAAGGCUAAAUACGUUUCGAGACCGAUAGUGAACUAGUACCGCGAGGGAAAGGUGAAAAGUAGCCCGUUGAGGGCGAUGAAAUAGUACCUGAAACCAUAUGUCUACAAGGACUCGAAGCUCCGAUACGCAAGUAUUGCGGGCGACGGGGUGCCUAUUGAAGAAUGAGCCAACGAGUUAAUUCGUAUCGCUCGACUAAGUCCUACGGGACGCAGUCAAAGGGAAACCAAGUGUUAAUAGCGCGUGCGCAGCAUUUCAAGCCUUCGGCUUUUGGCGUAAGCCGAGAGCCAGAGGCUUGAAUGUUGCAGGUGGUACGAAUUAGACCCGAAGCCGGGUGAGCUUGCCAUGGCCAGGGUGAACUCCCGAGAAAUCGGGAGGGAGGCCCGAACCGGUUGAUCGUUCAAUGUCAUCGGAUGAGCUGUGGCAAGGAGUGAAAAGCUUAUCGAACUCGGUAAUAGCUGGUUCUCUCCGAAAUAGCUUUUGGGCUAGCGUCUCAAAUUACUUCCGGGGGUAGAGCUACUGGAAGGUGUGAAUAGGGAGAAAUCUCGUCACACCUACCAAACUCCGAAUACCGGAAGCGUAUUGGGGCAGUUAGACCGUGGGGGCUAAGCUCCACUGGUCGAGAAGGGAAGAGCCUAGACCCACAUCUAAGGUCCCUAAAUCUUUGCUAAGUGCAAGUAAGGUGGUGAGAUUUCGUGGAUAGCGAGGAGGUUGGCUUAGAAGCAGCCACCCUUUAAAGAGUGCGUAACAGCUCACUCGUUAAGAGAUCUUGCGCCGAAGAUAAUCGGGGCUAAGCAAAGUACCGAAGAUUGGGAUGGUUCCGCAUUCGUGCGGGACCGUGGUAGGAGAGCGUUCUUUAUGCGAUGAAGGUCACGGCGUGAGCCGGACUGGAGCGUAGAGAAGUGAGAAUGUUGGCACAAGUAACCGCAAGAUCCGUGAGAUCCGGAUCCGCCGAAAGCCCAAGGUUUCCUUGGCAAUGGUGAUCAACCAAGGGUUAGUCGGUCCUAAGGCAAUGGCGAAAGCCGCAGCCGAUGGACAGAUGGUUAAUAUUCCAUCACCCCCGCGUUUUUUGACGGAGCGACGGAGGAAACAAGAAAGAGCGCAUUAUUGGAUUUGCGUUUCCGCGAAUAGAAUUGUUCUCCAGGCAAAUCCGGAGAACGGCCGCAAGGCAAAAUUCAAGAGCGGGAAAACUUUCCGCUACGGCAGAAAGGAUUCUUUUGAAGAGCCUUCCCAGAAAACCUUCUAAAAUUAAAAGCGCGGGGACCGUACCGCAAACCGACACAGGUGGGCAGGUCGAGAAGACCAAGGCGAACGGGUGAGUCCUCUCCAAGGAACUCGGCAAAAAAGCACUCGUAAGUUAGCGAUAAGAGUUACCCGAUGAAAAUCGGGUUGCAACAAAAGUACCCCUGGCGACUGUUUAUCAAAAACACAGCUCCCUGCGAACUCGUAAGAGGAUGUAUAGGGGGUGACGCCUGACCAAUGCGAGAAGGUUAACGUUGGCGGUGCGUGGAAAUUUAUUUCUGCGUGCUGACUGACCGAAGCCCUCGUCAAUGUCAGCGAUAACUAUAAUCGUUCUAAGGUAGCGCAAUUCCUUGCGUGGUAAGUUCACGCGCGCACGAAAGGCGUAACGACUGGGGGACUGUCUCGGAGAGGAGCCCGGUGAAAAUACAGUACCGGUGAAGAUGCCGGUUACCUGCAGUUAGACGAAAAGACCCCGGAAGCUUUACUAUAGCUUGAUAUUGGGUUUAAGUUUCUGAUGCGUAGCAUAGUGGGGAGGCUUUGAUGUGUUGUUUUAGGAUGACACGGAGCCGUCAGUGAAAUACCCAUCUUCAGUUUCUUAUAUUCUAACCUCGAGGGAAAAAACCGCGGGGAACAGUAUCUGGCGGGUAGUUUAAGUGGGGCACUUCCCUCCUAAAGAGUAAUGGAGGGGCCUAUUAAGGUCGGUUAGCUCCGGAUGGAAAUCGGAGCGAUAGGGUAACGCCAUAAACCGGCUUAACUGCGAGGCGGACAUGCCGAGCAGGUGCGAAAGCAGAGCGUAGUGAUCCGAUCGUCGGCAUUAGAUGCCGCGAAAGCUCAACGGAUAAAAGCUACUCCGGGGAUAACAGGCUAG
rnacentral:rRNA from 1 species